rfam:Sphingobacterium paucimobilis HER1398 contig18, whole genome shotgun sequence.
AUAGCUCAGUCGGUUAGAGUAGAAGACUCAUAAUCUUUUGGUCCCUGGUUCGAGCCCAGGU